UUUUACUCUUGCUUCUUUUUUUUUUUAAUAAAACGCUUUUUCCGAAGUGACUCGACUUAAAGCUCUGUGGGGUCCACCGUGAUUUUUGUGCCAUAUCCACUCCGUUCGUCUGUUUCUACAGCUAGUUUUAGGAUAUGAAGACGGGGUGGAUAUGAUAUAAAUUUCAUGUCGGCACGACGGAGCUUGGGAUAAAGGGAUUCUGGGGUAUUUUGAGUAAAAUAUUUUUUACCGUAGUAAUUUUGGGGACGAACAGAUAGGUCAGUUACCAUAUGAUGUAGCUUAUAUGGGGCCCAUCGUGAUUUGUUCUUUGAAUCCAAACCGUUCAUCAGGUGUGCCGCCUCAUGUUCAUUGUACAUAACAAAAAUCAGUAAGAUCCAUUACUUGGGUGGACCAUGCCAGGGUGAACAAGUAUGGGGAGUGGGGAGCAAUUUUGCAUAUAUACAGCGAGUUGAGAUCCAUACAUAAUCUGCAAGUUUCUGUGGUGGGCGACUCCCUCCCCAUUGCUACCCGUUGAUCUUUUGUUGUGGCCCGCCUGAGUUCUUGAUUAGGCUGGGUUUUUAAUUUUUUUUUCGUGUGUAUGGGACUAACUCGUGGGGGCGCGAUUGAUGGAUGGGUUGGAUGGCACAUAAGGUCAUGCCACACACGUGGAACCUAUCGCAAUUCGAACCGAGCGCGGAUUGCGUCCUGCCCAUGCAUCGACGGUCGCAUGGACGGAUUACCGUCCAGCAGAUCUGUGGAGGGUCCCAACAUGAUGUAUCUGUUUAUCCACGCCGUCCAUCCCUUUUCUAGGAUUAUUUUAAGAGAAGAUCGAAGAGUGAAGCAGAUAAAACGCUCACUUAGACCACACCAAAGAUGACUCUUGCAUUUAAUGACUGGUGAAUUAAUGUAACCCAAGUGCCCAAUUUUGUGUGGUCCAUUUGAGAUUUUGGUCUUCUUCACUCCAUAUGUAUACUUCAAAUGAUCCGAAAAAGUGUAUGGACGGUGUGGAUGAAUAGAUACAUCACGGUGGGCCCCUCCACAGAUCUGAUGGACAGUAAUCCGUCUAGGCGGGGGCAGGACGCAAUCCCCGUUCAUUCGAACGGUUCCGGCCAAAAAGGCGCAUGCAUGCAUCCAUCUGUCACCGGACGAGACUUGCCUUUAACCAGAGGUUACACGGUCCCCUGUAACCCAAAGCUCUGUGGGGUCCACCACGAUGUUUGUGUUAUGUCCACUCCGUCCAUCUGUUUCUUCAAGCUCAUUUUAAGACAUGAUCCAAAAACCAGAGAGAUACAAUACUCAAUUGGGCCACGCCAAAGGAAACAGUGAGCAUGAGGAAAGUUACCGUUGAAACCUUCUUGGCCCCACCGUGAAGUUUCGAUACCAUCCAGCCCGUUCAUAAGCUGAUUCCCACCAAAAUGAAGGAAAACACGAAUACAACCCUGAUUAAUCCUGUAACCCCACUAAGGUUUCAACGGUGAUCUUUCGAUCCUCAUUGCUGUGGGUCACUUGAGUCUUCAAUCUCCCUCAUGUCUGGUAUCCUGUCGUAAAAUGAUCCGAAGAAACGGUUGAACGGAGUGGAUACAAAACAAACAUCAUGGUGGGCGCACAGACCUUUGGGUUACAAGGGACUGGUGUACCCCGUUAGACGCGAGUCGGCUCUUCUGUACUCCACGAAGUUCUCUGCACCCACGUGUAGCUUGCUAAGGUACGGGCGCGGAUUCCUGCGAAAGCCUUCCGUAGGAAGUUCCUGGGAAGUAGGUGGGCUCACCGUGAUGUCUGUGAUAAAUCCGUCCCGUCCAUCAGUUUUGUGAGCUCAUUUUAGGACAUGAGGCCAAAAAUAAUCUGGAUCCAAUACUGAAGUGGGCCGAAAGCUUCUAUUGGACUUCUGAAUAUUUCAACUGUGGACGUUCAAUUCUCACGUUUUCGGCCCACUUAGUACUGGAUCCAGCUUCUUUUUGGACUCAUGUCCUUAAAUGAGCUCACAAAAUGGAUGUACGGGAUGGAUUUAUCAUAAACAUCACGGUGGGCCCCACCUAAGUUUCCAUCGCAGGAACCUCGUGUGAAAGGAUUUAGCAGGAAAUCCGCGUCGAGUGGACCAUUCUUGUAUUUCUCUUCCUUGCCAUUCAUUCGUAGGCCACUGAUCAAAGGGCUAGGAUCUUCCCAUACACCUCUAAGAUUAUAUGCAUAUGCAUGCAGGGCGAGACUCUACGAAGGUUCACCACCAUUUAAAAUUUUGUGGUGACUCACAACCAUAGACAAGGCAUACUUGUACAGUUGUACUGCAAUCUGGACCAUCCAAAUCGCUGACCUAGUUGUGGAUGGAGCAUAAGUAAAAAAUUACACUUAUAAUUUUACUUUUGACGACUCAAUGUGAUUUCAACCGUCCAUUUGGUAGUAGCCAAUUGCAUGGUUAAAAUUGUCCAAUGAGUGUGAUUUUCCAGCAAUGAUCCAUCUACAAUGUGAUCCUCAAUUUGGACGGUUUUGAUUUCACAAAACGUGUACCAUAUGUAAGAGGCCAGAAUCAUGACCACUUUUCACACUAGUGAUGAACCACCAAGCGAGUCGGGUACCUGUAUGCAUGAGAAUUGGUACGUAUGUAGCUCUCGUGGAGAGAGGAAAGCAGAGGAGACCGAAAGGGAAGCGGACUAGGUGAGACCCCGGAUCAACCGAGGUGGGUGGACACUGACUGUGGGAUUCACAUUAAUAUAUUUUCCUUAAAUCCACACCGUCCAACCAUUUUCAAAACUCAUUUAGGGCAUGAUACCAAAAAUGAAGCAUGCACAAAAUCUUUUAGGUGGGUAAACAGUCAUGAUUGAAUCUCCACCAUUAAAAACUUCGUAGGAGCCCACUGGAAUGUUUAUUUGCCAUCCAACCUGUUGAUAAGGUCACAAAGACCUAUAUGAAGAGACCACACAAAUAUCAUCUUGAUCCAAAGCUUUGUGGCCCACAAGAAGUUUUUAUUGGUCAAUUACUACUGUUUCCUAUACUAUGGUCCAUCUGAAAUUUGGAUCUACUUCAUUUUCUGGAUCAUGCCCUAUAACGACUUUUCAAUAUAGAUGGAUGGAGUGGAUGUAGUAACAUACAUCAAGGUGGGCCCCACAGUCAGGGGUCCCACGCACCUUGAUGGAUCCAGGAGAGAGGAGAAAAAUGUGGCCCACUUGAG